ensembl:lncRNA
AAAGAAAGAGAGAGAGUGCGCGCCAGCCAGCGGGUCCUGCGCGCCUCGGGGUGGCUCGCCUUUUUUUGGAAGCCGGGUCGCCAGCCGCCCUCUCCCUCCCCCUCUCGCCUCAGCGGCAGCCCUUGUUGCCUCGAGCGGGCGACCUCAUCAUGCCGAAGGAGGCGGGCGAAGCGGGGACUCCCCCGGGACCGCUACUCCUGCUCCUGCUCCUUUCCUCCGCCGUGCGAGGGGAGAAUACAGAACUGCCUACCUUCCCUGCAACAGGCGGGCUACACUCUGUAUUAGAAGACACAGUAUCACCAGCUUUCAGUGCCACUGUUAUCAUCAUCAUCACCGUCAUAAUCUCCGGAAGUGCUUACCUGUGUUUCUUGAAAUAUAUCUGCACCGGGUGCUGUAAAUCUACUCAGGUGGUACCUGUCAGAAGACUGGAUCAGAGCAGAUCAGAAGAGCAAGUGUAAUGGUGUUAUCAUUCAAUGAUCUGUGGCCCAGCCUGGGAGAAUUCAUGCUGGUAAAUGAAAGAGACAGAAAAGGCCAUCCUUCUCCAGAGAUUUCAGAAAGAAUGUUUGGACACUUAUGGGAAAGGAGUGAAUCUUUCUAGAGAAUCGACUUGGUCAGAAGAUGUGUGGAACUUUCUGACAUAAAGUUAUUUGUGUAUAGACUAACUAACUAACUAAUUUCUUUCUUUGUUUAUUUAUUUAUUGUUUUUAUUUAUUUGUAUUUGUUUGUAUUCCACCCAUAUUGACAAUGAUGGACUAGCCCUUUUUUUUUGAAUGGGACAUUGAUGAGUCACCGCUUCCUGGAGGACUCCAAAUCAGACUUCUGGUAUCAGGAAGCUCAAUUCUGGGGCUUUAAUCAAGCAAUCAAAAUGCUGACAGGUGUUUUCAUGUUCUAACAGCUGGUGAUUUCAAGUUCUGGCCACCAUUUUCAUCCUGUAGAGAAAACAAAGGAAAUGGGUGAGUGGAACUAAGUUGUAUGGGAGCUGCAAGGAAUUAUGGGCCUGAUAGUGUCCGUCCAUUAGGGUGCAGGGUGCCUCUAAAAAACUACCAGACCCAUAAUCCCGUGUAGCUAUCACAGAUUAGCCCUGCUCACCCAUUUCCCCUGCCUUCUCCAUAGGUUGAAAAUCGCUGCCCGAUUCUAAAAUCACCAGCUGUUAGAAAUUGAAAACACCCAUCAGUACUUUCUUGGUUAAAGCCACAAAUUAAAAAAUGACUAAAACCUGCUUCAGUCAGGAGCAGGAUUUCUCCUAGUCACUUGAUAUCAAAAGCCAAACUGGCACAGUGUGCUGCUUGUAUACUACCCCAUAGUGUUUCAUGCACUCUUUGAGUUGUUUACAAUUUGUAAUUAUGCAGCCUACACAGCAAGCUGGGUACUCAGUUUGCCAGAAAGAUGGAAGACUGAGUGAACCUUGAGCCAGCUACCUGAGCCCGCUGGAAUCAAACUCAGGUCAUGAGCAGUCUUGAUUGCGGUACUACAGUUCCACCACUGCGCCAUGAAGCUCUUCUUACGGAUAAGCCAGUAUCACGCAUUACCCUUUGGAAUUUGUAGGUUUGCUUCUAAUAAAAGCCUGUUCUACUUUUGUUUAGUUCA